rnacentral:rRNA from 1 species
UAGGGAAUCUUCCGCAAUGGACGAAAGUCUGACGGAGCAACGCCGCGUGAGUGAAGAAGGAUUUCGGUUCGUAAAACUCUGUUGUUAGGGAAGAAAAAAUGUAUAGUAACUAUAUACAAAAGAGACGGUACCUAACCAGAAAGCCACGGCUAACUACGUGCCAGCAGCCGCGGUAAUACGUAGGUGGCAAGCGUUGUCCGGAAUUAUUGGGCGUAAAGCGCGCGCAGGUGGUUUAGAAAGUCUGAUGUGAAAGCCCACGGCUCAACCGUGGAGGGUCAUUGGAAACUAAUAAACUUGAGUGCAGGAGAGAAAAGUGGAAUUCCUAGUGUAGCGGUGAAAUGCGUAGAGAUUAGGAGGAACACCGGUGGCGAAAGCGGCUUUUUGGCCUGCAACUGACACUGAGGCGCGAAAGCGUGGGGAGCGAACAGG